AUUGAACGCUGGCGGCAUGCCUUACACAUGCAAGUCGAACGGCAGCGGGGGAGAAGCUUGCUUUUCCUGCCGGCGAGUGGCGAACGGGUGAGUAAUACAUCGGAACGUGCCCUGUAGUGGGGGAUAACUAGUCGAAAGAUUAGCUAAUACCGCAUACGACCUGAGGGUGAAAGUGGGGGACCGCAAGGCCUCAUGCUAUAGGAGCGGCCGAUGUCUGAUUAGCUAGUUGGUGGGGUAAAGGCCUACCAAGGCGACGAUCAGUAGCUGGUCUGAGGAGACGAUCAGCCACACGGGGACUGAGACAAGGCCCACGCUCCUACGGGAGGCAGCAGUGGGGAAUUUUGGACAAUGGGCGAAAGCCUGAUCCAGCAAUGCCGCGUGUGUGAAGAAGGCCUUCGGGUUGUAAAGCACUUUUGUCCGGAAAGAAAUGGCUCUGGUUAAUACCUGGGGUCGAUGACGGUACCGGAAGAAUAAGGACCGGCUAACUACGUGCCAGCCGCCGCCGUAA
rnacentral:rRNA from 1 species